UCAAGGCCAGUGGCCAGUGGGGACCAGGCAUUGCUCAGGCAGGUUUCUUAUCCUAAAUCCCACUGAUGUUCCCACCCUGGUGUCACCUGCCACAUGGAUACAGCAGGACCCUGGCUGCCCCCCUUUUGUGCUCCUGGAAAGGUAAGUUUUAAAAAGGUGGAGAGAGUCUAUUGGAAGCAGCCUGGAGAUAAACAGUUUCCUUCACCCCAAGUGUGAGCCUCGGGCCACCCAUCUGCCACAGAGAUGUGUGUGGGAGCACAGAGUGUGCACAACUAGGAGACUAAGGCUGGUGUGUCUUUGGCUGCAGUUGGCUCUUUAUAAACUUUCUUACUAUGGAAGAUUCCACACAUAUUCAAAGUACAGAGAACAGUGUGAAGAACCAGCGUUCCCACAUCCAUCUUCGGUCUCCAUACAGCAUCUUUUAAAUGUGCAACUGGCUGAAGUGUCAUUUGGAAAAAGGGAAGCAACCUUAUCAACCACUGACCCAACGUGACGGCUCCCACGUUUAUGUGACCUGUGUAGUCACCAAAGGCAUUUGAGUUUCAGAGCCUCAGAAUUAUUCAGAUGCUGCUGGAUCCAUAGAGUGGUUUCUAGUCUCAUGGAGACUAUUAUCAAGUGGAUUGCAAAUCAGAGUUACAGUGGCAUGGGCCACGUGAGAUGCAUCUGCAUGUAGGGCGUCACAGAGAGAGCACUCAGGUGCCUCUGCCAUCCAGAUGGAGCUGUGGAGAAGGUGCCCUGCUUGGCAUGGCAAAAAGCAGAGCUCUGCAGAAGGAGAAGCAGAGACUCGGCCACAGAGGCUGGACAUGGAGCACGAGGACAUGGGGCAUGAGGACAUGGAGCACUGCCGGGCACCCCCAGCUCCUGCUCCAACCGAGCAGUCUGGUUGGAACAGGGGAUCUAUUGCCAAACCCAGGGUCUCUAGGAAGCCAACCCUCGGAGCCCACGGUCUACCUGGUCCUUCACUCCACCCAGGCAGAGAGCUCUGUGAAGUUGGAGACCACAUCUGUCCUCUUUACCAUCGUGACCAGCAGUGUGAGAAGCCUCACAGUUGUCUCCAGCCCUGGGAAAUGCGUCAAAUGCCCACAGAGACAAGGGACCCCAGAGCAGUGUCCCUACCCCUUUGCCACAUUUCCCCACUAGUCAGUGGAGUGCCUAUUUCUGUUUUACAUUCCUGAGCUAGUAUCCCCAAUUCUGAUUUGUAAGCACCUCAUUAUUUCCCAGGCUUGAUAAAAUGGGAAACUUCCAUGGAUUUGAAGAUUA